CAGUCGCCACGGUAAAACGAAGGGUGCAAGCGUUAAUCGGAAUUACUGGGCGUAAAGCGUGCGUAGGCGGUGAGUUAAGUCUGCUGUGAAAUCCCCGGGCUCAACCUGGGAAUGGCAGUGGAUACUGGCUCGCUAGAGUGUGUCAGAGGAUGGUGGAAUUCCCGGUGUAGCGGUGAAAUGCGUAGAGAUCGGGAGGAACAUCAGUGGCGAAGGCGGCCAUCUGGGACAACACUGACGCUGAGGCACGAAAGCGUGGGGAGCAAACAGGAUUAGAUACCCGCGUAGUCCCUGUCUCUUAUAC
rnacentral:rRNA from 1 species